rnacentral:lncRNA from 1 species
UCACACUAAAUCAGCUAUAUGCUGCCAAUCAACCACCCCUAACCUCCUUCAUCGUCUGUCUUCUCUAUGGCUUCCACAGAGAACAACAGCAGCAACAACGCCGCCACCAUGGCGGCGAUGGCGGCGACCAGCCGGAGUGUUUAAUGAAUAGGGUUUUCUUUGGAUUUGUCAUUUCUUCAUCGGUUAUUGUAACCCCGGAUCAGAUUUUAAGAAGUGGUUUGGGAAAACCCAGAUCAAAGAAGUGGUUUUUUAUCUUUCUGGUGAUUUAAAUGAAGGGAUCAAGAGGAUCAGUGAGGCAAUUGAUGGGUUAGAUGUUGGGAUUUUGAUAAAUAAUGCAGGGGUUUCGUAUCCUUAUGCUAGGUUUUUUCAUGAAGUGGAUGAUGAGUUGUUGACUAAUUUGAUUAAAGUCAACGUUCAGGGGACUACUAGAGUGACACAUGCUGUGUUGCCUGCUAUGGUGAAGAGGAAGAAAGGUGCUAUUGUGAAUAUUGGAUCUGGUGCUGCUAUUAAUAUUCCUUCUGAUCCUCUUUAUGCUGUUUAUGCUGCUACUAAAGCGUAAGUUUUUUUUUUAUUAUUAGUAUAAAGUUUUGAUUUUAAAAUUUGGGUACAAGAAUAGUGGCAUUGAUGUGCAGUGUCAGGUACAUUGUUGAAUGUUUUACUUCAUAGAAAUUUUAUUAAUUAGCAGUAUACUAAGUCGGAUAUCCGUCGUUAUCGUUUUAUUUUUCUCAUAAAAAUGUUGAUCGGUUAUUGUAACCCCGGAUUAGAUUUCAAGAUUGUUUUGUCUGUCACUCGCUUUUCUUGAUCUGAGAUAGAUACAAGUCCUGUAUCUAUUUGUGUGUAUGAAAUUGGGCAAUUGUGAGUUAGAUGUCUCAAUUGUCUGAACCUCAAGGCUCUUCUAAAGCUUUUCAACAAAGGGGUUUUCGUCUUCAAGCUCCACUGGUGAGUUUACAUAUAGAUUUUGUGUUUAGAAGAAACCCAGAUGAAAUUGUUGUGACAUGAGUGAUUUUUCUUGAAUUUUUGUCAAUUGGGUGUGAUAUAGGUUGUGGGUAUUUAAUCGGUGGUUUACUUAUAACCAGGUGGGUGGUCGAGGCUGAUGGUGGUGGAGGUGGGUGGUGGUGGCGGCUGAUGGUGGUGGGGGGUGGAUGGUGGCGGCUGAUGGUGGGGGGUAAUUGUGCGACAUAACAAGAACGUCGGGGGGUAAUAUUAAAGGGCAAUAUAGUCAUUUCACAUUAAAGUUAACAGAUCUGUUAACAAAUUUGAGGCCGGGGGGUAAGGUUGCGACAUAACAGCAAACGUUGGGGGGUAAAAUUGUAAUUAUUUCGUUAGGGGGGGGUAAGGGUGCCAAUCACCCCAAACCCCAGGGGGUAAAAUUGCAGUUUACUCUAAAUAUAAAUUGAAUUUAUAGUUUAAUAUAUACCACUCUAACUAAUAGAUUUUGGUUCACUAUAUACAAAUUUACAACUAUAUCUAUACGUACUAACCCAAUC